UACGUAGGGGGCAAGCGUUGUCCGGAUUUACUGGGCGUAAAGCGCGUGUAGGCGGCCAAACAGGUCCGUUGUGAAAACUGGAGGCUUAACCUCCAGACGUCGACGGAAACCGUAUGGCUAGAGUCCGGAGGAGGAGAGUGGAAUUCCUGGUGUAGCGGUGAAAUGCGCAGAUAUCAGGAAGAACACCAAUGGCGAAGGCAGCUCUCUGGGACGGUACUGACGCUGAGACGCGAAAGCGUGGGGAGCGAACAGG
rnacentral:rRNA from 1 species